UGUCUUCUAAAUAAAGACCAGUAUGAAUGGCUAAAUGAGGACAAACCUGUCUCUUGCAACCAAUCAGUGAAACUGAUCUCCCGGUCCAAAAGCCGGGAUAUCCCCAUAAGACGAGAAGACCCUGUGGAGCUUUAAACAAACUACUACGCACCCCACCAAGCUGCAACUAGUAAGUAGUUUUAAGUUGGGGCGACUUCGGAACCAAAAAAAACUUCCGAGCACAGAACCACCCGCUCUUACUGAGAUCAACAAGUCAAAGUCCAAAAACGACCCAGUAACACUGACCAACGAACCAAGUUACCCCAGGGAUAACAGCGCUAUCUUCUUCAAGAGUUCAUAUCGACAAGAAGGUUUACGACCUCGAUGUUGGAUCAGGACACCCUAAUGGUGCAGCCGCUAUUAAAGGUUCGUUUGUUCAACGAUU
rnacentral:rRNA from 1 species